rnacentral:rRNA from 1 species
UCUGGGAUAAGCCUGGGAAACUGGGUCUAAUACCGGAUAUGACCUUCCAUCGCAUGGUGGUUGGUGGAAAGCUUUUGUGGUUUUGGAUGGACUCGCGGCCUAUCAGCUUGUUGGUGGGGUAAUGGCCUACCAAGGCGACGACGGGUAGCCGGCCUGAGAGGGUGACCGGCCACACUGGGACUGAGACACGGCCCAGACUCCUACGGGAGGCAGCAGUGGGGAAUAUUGCACAAUGGGCGCAAGCCUGAUGCAGCGACGCCGCGUGAGGGAUGACGGCCUUCGGGUUGUAAACCUCUUUCAGUAGGGAAGAAGCCGCAAGGUGACGGUACCUGCAGAAGAAGCGCCGGCUAACUACGUGCCAGCAGCCGCGGUAAUACGUAGGGCGCAAGCGUUAUCCGGAAUUAUUGGGCGUAAAGAGCUCGUAGGCGGUUUGUCGCGUCUGCCGUGAAAGUCCGGGGCUCAACUCCGGAUCUGCGGUGGGUACGGGCAGACUAGAGUGAUGUAGGGGAGACUGGAAUUCCUGGUGUAGCGGUGAAAUGCGCAGAUAUCAGGAGGAACACCGAUGGCGAAGGCAGGUCUCUGGGCAUUAACUGACGCUGAGGAGCGAAAGCAUGGGGAGCGAACAGGAUUAGAUACCCUGGUAGUCCAUGCCGUAAACGUUGGGCACUAGGUGUGGGGGACAUUCCACGUUUUCCGCGCCGUAGCUAACGCAUUAAGUGCCCCGCCUGGGGAGUACGGCCGCAAGGCUAAAACUCAAAGGAAUUGACGGGGGCCCGCACAAGCGGCGGAGCAUGCGGAUUAAUUCGAUGCAACGCGAAGAACCUUACCAAGGCUUGACAUGAACCGGACCGCUGCAGAAAUGUGGUUUCCCCUUUGGGGCUGGUUUACAGGUGGUGCAUGGUUGUCGUCAGCUCGUGUCGUGAGAUGUUGGGUUAAGUCCCGCAACGAGCGCAACCCUCGUUCUAUGUUGCCAGCACGUGAUGGUGGGGACUCAUAGGAGACUGCCGGGGUCAACUCGGAGGAAGGUGGGGACGACGUCAAAUCAUCAUGCCCCUUAUGUCUUGGGCUUCACGCAUGCUACAAUGGCCGGUACAAAGGGUUGCGAUACUGUGAGGUGGAGCUAAUCCCAAAAAGCCGGUCUCAGUUCGGAUUG